rnacentral:tRNA from 1 species
CCACCUAUAGCUCAGUUGGUAGAGCAGCUCCCUUUUAAGGAGACGGUCCCUGGUUCGAGCCCAGGUAGGUGGACCA